GUGCCAGCAGCCGCGGUAAGACGUAGGGGGCGAGCGUUGCUCGGAAUCACUGGGCUUAAAGGGCGCGUAGGCGGCAGGGCAAGUCUGGGGUAGAAGGCGGAGGCUCAACCUCUGUAAUGCCCUGGAAACUGUCUUGCUUGAGCGAGCGAGGGGAGGGCGGAGUUCCCGGUGUAGCGGUGAAAUGCGUAGAUAUCGGGAGGAACACCAGUGGCGAAGGCGGCCGACUGGAACUGACCUGACGCUGAGGGACGAAAGCCAGGGGAGCGAACCGGAUUAGAUACCCGGGUAGUCCUGGCCGUAAACGAUGGAUGCUAGAUGUGGGCGGGGAGACCCGUCCGUGUCGCAAGCUAACGCGUUAAGCAUCCCGCCUGGGGAGUACGGCCGCAAGGUUGAAACUUAAAUGAAUUGACGGGG
rnacentral:rRNA from 1 species